CAGGAAGUUAUAAAGGAAACAGGAAGUGCAGGGUUCUUUCUUUGAUCUUCAAGGCUGCCCACAGCAGGCAGCAACAGCAGUGUGCAGCUCCUGCAAUUGAAAGACAAUGUUUCGAUUUAGUUUGGACCAACAAAGACAAUCGUCAUAGCAAAGCAUGCACAGUUGACGGCGAGCUCCUCCAGCC